rnacentral:rRNA from 1 species
AUUGAACGCUGGCGGCAUGCCUAACACAUGCAAGUCGAACGAGUGGCGGACGGGUGAGUAAUGUCUGGGAAACUGCCCGAUGGAGGGGGAUAACUACUGGAAACGGUCGCUAAUACCGCAUACCAUCGGAUGUGCCCAUAUGGGAUUAGCUAGUAGGUGGGGUAACGGCUCACCUAGGCGACGAUCCCUAGCUGGUCUGCGAGGAUGACCAGACACACUGGAACUGAGACACGGUCCGUACUCCUACGGUAGUCAGAAUGGGGGAAUAUUGCAAAAUGGGCGAAAGCCUGAUGCAGCCAUGCCGCGUGUAUGAAGAGGGCCUUCGGGUUGUAAAGUACUUUCAGCGAGGAGGCGUUACUCGCAGAAGAAGCAUCGGCUAACUCCGUGCCAGCAGCCGCGGUAAUAC